UACGUAGGGGGCAAGCGUUGUCCGGAUUUAUUGGGCGUAAAGAGCGUGUAGGCGGCCAGACAAGUCUGCUGUGAAAACUCGAGGCUCAACCUCGAGCUGUCGGUGGAAACUGUCUGGCUAGAGUCCGGAAGAGGAGAGCGGAAUUCCUGGUGUAGCGGUGAAAUGCGCAGAUAUCAGGAAGAACACCUAUGGCGAAGGCGGGUUACUGGGCUGAUACUGACGCUGAUGCGCGAAAGCCAGGGGAGCAAACGGG
rnacentral:rRNA from 1 species